rnacentral:tRNA from 1 species
GUUUUAAUAAUUUAAUAAAAAUAUUAGUUUUGUAAACUAAAAUUAGGCACCAUCCUUUAAAACU